AAAUGCAUGUGAUUUGGGGACAGGGUUUAAGUGUGUCCACGAGACCUCAGCUCUUAACACCCAACCCAUGUAACGAUUUUGCAAGCACAGUGGCAGAGCCACUUGUAGCUUGACAGCAACGAACAAGCAUGUUGUUCUAGGACACACUGCACUUGACACAAGGAGCCGGAAGACUGAAAUGCCUACAGAAUUCAUGCCAUUCCAACGAGUCCCAGUGCCCAAACCCUCCCAAGGACCUUGCUCCUGCAGGUUUGUCAGCAGGUCACUUCCAAAAUCCCAGCACGUGGGAGGUUGAGGCAGGAUGGUGGAGAGUUUGAGGUCAACCUGAACUACAUUAGCGAGACCCUGUCUUACAAAGAAAAAGAGAGAGGAUUCUGGCUCUGGUGCUACACUGAGUUCUUUUCACUGAGACUCCAGCUCCUGUUUUAAGUUUGUAUGUGGAGAUGUGGGACAGUGAUGGGGCCCAAGCUUUGAGUAUGCUAUGAAGACACAGUGAAACGAUAUUCGUGGACCAACUCAGCAAAGAGCAAAAUGACAGACACAUUUUCAGAAGUCUGAUAAUUAUUUCUCAAUCCAGAAAAGUGGAGAUGUUGGGCCGGAUGACCCUGAGAUGAAUUUCUCUUCUAAGAUUUGAAAGAUCAAAAGUGGCCUGUGUUUUACAUUAUCAUGUUUUUCCACACAAGCAGUUUACUGAUGUCACUGGCCCAAGAAAGGGCAGCACAGAAGCUCUUCUAAGCUGUCCUUGAUUUGCUGAACACUCUGUACCAAAUUCCUACUUCAAAGGCAAGUGAAGAGUCUGCAAAAACAUUUUGAAUCCAGGUGCUUCUUAAUACCCAGGUUAUCUGUUAAAUCAAGAUUUAUAAUCUAUUCUGGAACACUUAAGAAUAAAAAGAAUGCUGUUAAGAAGCCAGAUCUCAGCUGGCAUACAAGGGAGAGACCCAGGCACCCUGGACAUCUGGUCCCCCUCUUAGAUAUAAACUGUUAAAUUCCUCAUUUGGGUGUGGGCCAGUAAACAGCUCCUGUAGCGCUUGGGCUUCUCCCAUGCUAUGUGGAUUAGUGAAUUGUUGCCUAGUAGUCUCUUGGAGGACAGAACAACAUAUACUUUAGCACAGUAAUGAAGAGGAGGCUGUUUGUUCACUCUUAAGAAAGGCUAGCGUUGCAGUAUUGCAGCAUAGUUAAAGGUAAGAGGAAACCCAGUAGCUUCAAUUUCCUGAGCUUUCAUUUUUAUUGCAGUUUAAAUACUAGGUUAGCAAUGUGUCUGGUAGGAUGAAUCCUGCUUGGGCCUCUGCCUGAUGCACAUUGUUAGCAUGGUUACGCUAAUGCUUAGUGAGUGUGAAUAUCCAUUAUAUCUCAAACAGGGUUCUGUCUUAUAAGCAAAUAGGAAUUUAUAUGACCAAGCUUGAAAGCAAAUAACAACAACAAAAAUCAACUUUCUAAAUAGUCUGUGAAGAGAAAAAAAUAAGUAAAAAUGGCAGCUAAUAAAUCUUCUUUUUGUAUGUUGUGGUAAGUUCUUAGCUUUUGGUGGCUAUUUAACUUCUUAAUUAUGUUUUUUUUUAGAUGAGAAUUAAUUAGAUUAAUUAGGUCAAUAGCAGCACAGGGAGAUAUAUGUAAGAGGAGCAAUGCUCAAAAUUUUAAAUGGUGAUGACAGAAAUCAGUCUGGUAUUCAAAGUAAGUCUAACAAAAAUUAGUCACACAGAAAUAAUUGAGAACCAAAUAAAUAAAGCUGUCUUAUUACUCUGCAGCUAUACAGGUACUUUAGAAUGUUAAAGACUUAGAGAUUCUUUCUGAAAAUUUUCUUAUCCCCACUACUUGGUUCUGUGAAGGGUUGAUCAUUCGUCAUUCUGGGCAUAUUUCAACCAUGACAUCAUGGUUUAUUUUUCUGAGACGCUAUACAGAAUUGGACAGUAUUUUUGCCCAAACCGAAACUACGUGCUAAGAAACAGUAGUCAGGGACCUGCGUUGCAUCACACGCACCUGGUCACCAGGUGGCUGGGCCUCCCAGCUGUGUGUUCUUCCUUCAGUCACUGGACCCGCAUUAAGCACGUAGGCAUGGCUUCCUCAGAUAAUUUUUGCAUUGCGAAAAAUCCAGAAAAGACUCUUUGAGAGAAUGGAGUUUUCAUGUUGCACCAAUAUACUUUGAUGAAUGAUGGUGUUUUAAGAUCCUCUUAUCAUUCUUAUUUUAUGACUACAGUUAGCUAAUGGAUACAAGUGACACACAGCAGACACCUUGUGGAACCCUGAAUUAUGCUAAUAUCCAAACACCCAUGCUGCCUGUUGCCACGACAUGCAGUUUAUGGGCCUUACUUUUUCUUCCCUUGAGUUUUUUUAUGAGCAGAUGUCCAAGCAGUGGGAAAAAACAGAGGCUUCAGCCUACUCAUUACAUCACAAAAUACAGAAGAGGGCAGAUAUACUAGAAAACCCAGCUUAGAGCACAGCUGUGAGCCUACUUAAAUAUCUCCAAGUAUCAGCCACACUGCAGAGAAAGACUUGACGGAGCCUUAGAAAAACUGAAGUCUCUCUCCAGCCCUAAUGCUUACUCUCCAAGUGGCCUCAGAUGACUCACGAUUGCUCUAGACUGCCAUGAAACAUCUACAUUGCUAUCAUCCUGCUCCACCUCUCUUGAGGUGGUGUUGUAGGAUUGAGUGAGAUGGAUAUUUAUGAAUGGUACUAUAGAUUGCAAACACUAUAUAAAUAUAAGGCAUUAAUCCAUCUUUCCCAGUGACUCAGGAUAUAAUGUUGGGUAACUGAAUGACAUCAGAUUUUGCAACACUUGAAAUGGCAAAACAUUUUGUAAACUUUACUCAACCUCAGGAAUAAUAUGAUUUCUUAGAACAUUUCAUUUGUUCAGGUAAUCAGCGACCAACAUAGAGACAAAUGCUUAUCAAAUUAAUUAAUUCAAAUUUAAGAAAAUGACAUUAAGAAGGAGAGAUCACUAAAGAUUUCUCUUUAAGCUCUAAAAAUUGUUUUGGUGAUUCUUAUUAGCAUAUUAAAGAACCCUAAGAAGCUCCUAAAUGUUUGAAAUAGUAGAUCAGAACUUGCGGUAUCCUAUCUGUGUAGCUCAUGGCAGUUCAAUAUUCCACACUGUGAGAGGAAUCACAGGCUGUCUAGUCUGCCCUCCCUUUCCCAAUAACCACAUCAAAGAGUAGUCCAGUGUAUGUUUGCGGACAAGCAUUACCACACUGUAAGAAUAAAAGGCAACACAGAUGCUUCAAUAAAAAAAAGCCAUAGGAAAAUUGCAGAUUACUAAUAAGCAGAAAUAAUGCAUUAGGAAUAUCAACAGCAACAUGAAUUUCAAAAAACAGUGUAGAAUUAAAACAAGGGAGACUGAAAAAGCAAGAGAAAUAAAAUAAAAUGCAAAAUCUAAGACGGGGGUCUUAUGUAUAACAUGAAUUAGAGAAUGUGGUAAUGUGAGCCUCAAUAUCCAAGUGAGCAAAGAAACCAAAAACCACUUAAAAGAUUGACGGACUUCCUCCCCUUCCAGAGCUUGCCUGCAAAAUUAUUUUCAGUGUAACUUUUGCCGACAAGGAAGCAUGUCACCGCUCAUUGAGUGUCCUCUACUGCAGCGCACAUUGAACCUGGGCUCCAGUUUGUCCUCAGAAGGAUGAGGGGAAAGGGCCAGGACAUGUGCAUUUUUUCAACAUCAUUGAAUGGCUUUUUAGCCUUCUCUUGUUCAAAUUAAUAAGACCAGGUCCUUUUGCUGCUCCUUCUAGCUUGGUCAGCUAGGAGCUCUUUGGAGCUCGUUCCAAUGAUGUGCUUCCCUUUUCAAUUGUGAGCCCUGAGCCAGACUCGGGGAGGAGGUGAAAGUGUGGGAUGGCCUCCUGUUUUUGCUACCAAUUCAUGCAUCGCUGUGGUCAUCUCUCAAGGGUGAAGAGUGGAGGACUUCAUAAAGUCAUAGACAAUUUCUGCAUUCAUUACUGAAUGAAAGUUUUGUUUAGAAUAGAUCACUCUUGGGCACCAGCAGACUAGAAACUUGGGAAGGGCUGAGAGAAUGUAAGUGCUCAGGAAGGUUGUUUGUGUACAUUUCCUUAGGGAGAAGCCCCACAGGAAGGAAACACAUCAACAAAGACUGGACUGUGUAAGCAAAUCUGUCAUAACCCUAAGAAUUUCAGGAAAUCCCCAUUUUGACCUAUCUAGAUCCAAUGGCUAGAAUGACGGUUAUUAGGUUCCUGCCCAGUAUAUACAAAGAUUAGAACAGAUCAGUAUCUACCGAAGGUUCUUUGUUUGGUUUUGAACAUACAAGGGCUGAAUAGUUCGUCUGUGAAAGAUCUGGCCAGGUUUCUAUGUUUAAUCACAUUUUAUCAAAACCACCAGGAGCAAAUUAUAGGUUCUGUGGGGAUUGGUAAAAAUGGGCUUCCUUAUUUUUUAAUGAAGCUACUCAAACACGACUGUGAGUUGGUACAAUCUUGACACAAAUAGAGUAACUCACUUAACCUUGUGAUGAAUAAUUCUUUGAACUCCCAGCGUUUGUUUGGAACUUUGUUUUUGAUAAGCCGACGUACGUUAAUGAGUUCUCAACCUGAGCUGUACAAACACGAGUCUUCUCACAGGGAACCUGAGUCACCCGGACCGUAAAGGACUUGGCACAGGGCCUAACCUGCUCCCACUGGGACACAUGGUCCCACACUCUGCACCUCGUGAGCACCAGGAUGACACCUCCACAUCAGGGCCCCGGGAGCCAGGUGUGGCCAAGGAGAGAACACAUGGGUGCACCUCUGUGUCGGGACAUAGGUGGCCUCAGAUCCCCAUAGGCCUCCCUGCCUCAGGCAUGCCCCAGGGAGUGGGCAGGUUGCACUCGGCCCACAAGGACCAGGACCUGUCCUCGGGUCCUUGAUGGUAGUUUUUAAAUGGCAGGUUGGUGUAUUAUACAUCUCUCCAAGCCACGGGCCACCCACCUUUCUCCCAUCUGGCAUCUCCAUUCUCUCGGUGAUUCAGGAGUCUGAGGAAGCCACCAGCAACAUUCAAAACCUCAUAACACAGCCUAGCUAAAAAGUGUCAAAGUGACCUUUUGAGCUACCCUACACGGAGGAAAUUUCAAAAUAAAAGUAAAUGGGUAAUGGUCAUAGAAAAGCCAUCCAAAGGAAGAAUUCUGUUACUUUUACAAACCUAUUUUAUCAGCCAUGCCAUCCCAUCACUUGUUCUAAU